UGAUCUAUUUCUUCUCUUCUUUCUCUUUUAUAAAUUUUUUUCCUCCUCUCAAUUCUUCCCAAUGUGAUUCAUCUCCAGUCUGGUUAUAUUUCAUAUUACUGAUGAAAAUAAAAUAGUUGUGUAUCAUGGAGUUGGUAGAAAAAAUAAAUGGCAAGUUUUUAUUCUCAUCCAAUAUUGCUAGGUACUAAAUGUAUCAUGUGGUUCAGUCAGUCACAAACCAUUUUUCUGCUAUCACCCUACAUUCUCUGAUAUUAUUCUGCAUCAUAAUACAGUAGAACUGGAAAGGCUAGAGUUCAGAACCUGAGAGGUUCCUAGACCUGAAUUUUACCAUGAUUACCUAGAAAAGGUACCUAGGAAAGGUCACGAUUAUCUAGACCUUUAGUGUUAGAGCUGAAACUCAAACUCAAUUUUGUCUAUUGCCCUUUAUGUUUAUAGUACAUGAUUUUAUACCAAGGUCAUUUCAAGCUAAAUCACAGUCGCAUCUGGAGUCUUUAAUUGUGCCUCACAAUUAGCAUACUGUAAGAGCCAAUUAAAAGAGUUGGAAAAGACAACUUGAGGGAAGCUUGGAUGAAUUGGAUGGCACUGUACUUCCCUUGAGUCUCCUGAAAAUGCUGCUCACCUGAUGCAUUUCUUCGUAUGUUGUUGUUGAGAAGACUGAUGUCACACUCAUUUGUUACUGCUAUAGAUAAUUUCAUUAUUUUUGGCCACAUACAUUUUUCUUUUUUCCUUUAAAUUCUAAUAGUUGACUAUUUUAUGUCAUAGAAUUGACUCUUCUGAAAACUUUUUUUUUCUCAGAAACAUUAUGAUCUUUUUCAAUAUGUUGUUACAAAUAUUUCCUUAGUUCUAGAAAAUUUUGUUGGAUUGUAGUUUACUAGUUCCAAUUGUUUUGAUUUCUUUCUUCUAGUAGUCCCCUUCAAUGUGAAUCAACUUAUUUACCUGUCUUCCAUUUUACCCCCCUUUUCCCAAUCCUUUUAUACUUCUUAUUUUAUUCUAUUGUUGCUUUCUGUUACAUCCCCUUUUAAAAUACUCUUUAUUAAGUUUUCAGUCUUAUCUAUUAUCUAUUGGGAAUUUUAAAAUCGUAAUUAUAUUU